rnacentral:lncRNA from 1 species
AGAGAAGGUCCUGCUGUCUAUGGGCAAGCCUGAGCACAGAGGCUGCUCUGCUGGUGGGGGUGGGGUCACUUCUCUCAGCCCCAGACUGUCAGCUCUCAGGAUUAUCCACCUCGGCUCCUGGUUGCAGCAACUGCUGUGGCAGUAUGUGGAGCGAGCACCUCUGGCUCCCAACUUCUCCUGACUGAGCUGGCCACUCGCUUCCUUCUCCUCUGUGCCUCAGGCGCUUGCUGAGACUUCUCUGUUGGACUCUAGUGCUCUCUCCUGGAUGUUCUAUUCGAGCUCUGCCGCACUAAGCUCUCUACAUGGCCGAGGCACCAGACCAGAAUGCGCCCUUUCGACAGGCAGAGAGAGCCAAAGGGGAAAAGAGCUGAGUCAAGGCUGCCAAGUUCCUGCUUCCAGCCCUACCAGCCGGUCACUCGCGCCUUGCAAUGAGGAAACCAGGAGUCCUAUCUAGAGCCUUUCCAUAGUUGUGGGAAAGAAGAUGGGUAAAGUUAUUGUUAAUCUACAGAGGAAGGAAUGAUGCCAAGUUUUUCAAGGCUUCCAGAGUCACAGGAGGAGUCACUUGGUAAAUCCAGGAGCAGAAACCAGGUUAAGUGACUAGCCUAAGGUAAGAGCCAGAUUUGGAGCUUGGAAUCUGAUAGCCCUUAGGGUGCUUUAUUCCCUGAGCCAAUCCACACUUCUACCUCAGUAAAGGAAUCAACUGAGGGCUCAGCUUUUCCUCUGCAAGAAACCUGCUCUCUGGGACAUGUUCGCUUCCUGGAUGUUCUGACUAAUUUAAACUAUGGUUAAUUGAAGACUGAAAUAUUCGGGAAACUAUGACAGGAACAAUUUGCUACGGACAGUUUCCACCUGUACUCUCAAGACUUAGAAGCCAUAUGGAUAGAAUGAAAUAGGAUCCCAUCAUUCUCGGCCCAUCUCGCCCAUCUCAAGUCAUUUUUGCCCUCUCCCCACGUGCAGUCAGAAGACUGGAAGUGGAGGUGUGAGCAGUAGAUAGAGCAGUUUAUAAGACAAUGUUAAGACCAUGAUGAAAAGACAUUAGAGGAAGCAGGAAAAAAGAAUAUGCGACACUUAGAACAGGAAUUGGUGGUGUCUUGGAAUAUCUGCUUCAGGACGAUAAUGAAACUAAUGAUUUAGGGCAGUAGAAGAAGCCGUGGGAGGAACUUUCACAUUUGGCGAGGAGUGACCACUAAUUGGUCCAGAAGUGGACAUCUGAUAGAGAGAUUAGCCAAUGAGCAGCAAGAGGAGAAGACAGUGUAGAAGCCAAGAGAAGAAGAACG